UAAUCCUGCAUCACCUGAGCUUUUCUCACUACGUUGGUUGGACAUGUCAAAGAAAAAACUUGGAAGUCCUGAAAACCAGGGAGACACAACAUCACACCUGAAAUUUUAAUCAUCAUUGAUUGAUCAUCUGCAAUGGCAGGAAAUCGUAAUUUGAGAAUACCACCUAAAAGCUAAGGCACUUCUUUAUUCAACACUUAAAUACUACAGUGAGAAUGAUGAGAGAAAGCAGAGCAAGAAUUCCUGGCAGAGAAGAUGAGGGUUUAGAAGAUGAAAAGCAGGACCCUUAGAACCUUUCCAAAGGGAUGCCACUUAAAGUGUUGGAGACACAUCUACAAGGUUCCAAUGAAUCCAAAAGAAUGAAACUGAGACUUGACAUCUGAGCAUGUUGAUGGACAAGGGCACAAGUCUAAAAUGACCAGGCAGCCAGUUGUCACAUGUCCUUACUACGCCAAAGGUAAAGCUACCAUUUGGGAAGCAGUAGCAGAAGCCUCCUUCUUCUCCAUCCAUUCAUUUUUAGUUUUAGGACACUGAUCUGGAUUUCCUUUGAAGUGCUUAUAGG